AGACAACUUUGCAGGGGAGAUACCAUGACAACAAAGGUGGUUUUUCCAGGGUGAGCCUCACUUUUUCACUCAGGAUGAGCUGAACCCCGUGAUUUUCCCCAAAUUCUGGAAACUCGACUGCAUAAUUUGUGGUAGUGGGGGACUGUGCUUGCAUUCUCCCCCA